rnacentral:rRNA from 1 species
UACGUAGGGGGCGAGCGUUGUCCGGAUUCAUUGGGCGUAAAGCGCGGGCAGGCGGCCCGCUCAGUCGGCCGUGAAAGCGCCGGGCUCAACUCGGCGAGGUCGGGCGAUACUGGCGGGCUCGAGGCUGGUAGAGGGCGGUGGAAUUCCGGGUGUAGUGGUGGAAUGCGUAGAGCUCCGGAGGAACACCAGUGGCGAAGGCGGCCGCC